rnacentral:lncRNA from 1 species
CCAUUUGUUUUGUUUCUUAUAUUCUACAUAUGAGUAAAAUCAUAUGGUAUUUGUCUUUCCCUGACUGACGUAUUUCACUUAGCAUUAUACACUGUAGGCCUAUGCAUGUUGUUACAAAUGGCAAGAUCUUAUUCCUUUUUUAUGGCUGAGUAAUAUUCUAUAGGAUAUAUAUAUAUAUAUAUAUAUAUAUAUAUAUAUAUACCAUAUCCUCUUUAUCCAUUCAUCCAUCAAUGGAUUCUUGGGCUGCUUCCAUAUCUUGGCUAUUGUAAAUAAUGUUGCAAUAAACAUAGGGGUACAUAUAGCUUUUCAAAUUACUGUUUUCAUUUUUUGGGGGUAAAUAUCUAGUAGUGAAUUACUGGAUCAUAUGGUGUUUCUAUUUUUAAAUUUUUGAAAACCUCCAUACCAUUUUCCACAGUGGCUAUACCAAUUGAUAUUGCCACCAAUAGUGCACUGAGAGUUCUUUUUUCACCACAUCAUCACCAACUCUUGUUAUUUCUUGUGGUUUUUUAUUUUAGCCAUUCUGACAGGUGUUAAGUGAUAUCUCAUUGUCAUUUUGAUUUGCAUUUCCCUGAUAGUGAUGUUAAGCAUAUUUUCAUGUGUCUGUUUGUCUUCUUUGGAAAAAAUGUCUAUUUAGGUCCUCUGCCCAUUUUUUUUAUUAUUUUUUGGUGUUGAGUUGUAUAAGUUCUUUAUACAUUUUAGAUAUUAACCCCUUAUCAGAUGUAUCAUUUGUGAAUACCUUCUCCCAUUCAAUGGCCUGCCUUUCCAUUAUUUUGAUGGUUUCCUUCACUGUGCAGAGUUUUUUUAUUUUGGGGUAGUCCCAAUAGUUUAAUUUUGCCUUAAUUUCCCUUGCCAAUGGAGAUAUAUCUAGGAAAAUGUUUCUACGGCUGAUGUCCUAGAAGGAAAUAUCGGUAGGAAUCUCUUGGAGUUUAAUGGUCUUAGAUCUUAUAUUUAGGUCUUUAAACUGUCUUGAGAUUAUUUUUAUGUAUGGUUUAGGAAAGUGAUCCAAUUUUUCCAAAACCAUUUAUUGAAGAUACUAUUUUCCAUUGUAUAUUCUUGCCUCCUCUGUGGAUUAAUUGAACAUGGAAGUAUGGGUUUAUUUCUCAGCUCUUAUUCUGUUGCAUUGAUCUAUGAGUUUUUUUGCCAGUACCAUAUUGUUUGAUGGCUGCAGCUUUGUAGUAUAUUAUGAAAUCUGGAUUGUGAUACCUCCAGCUUUGUCUUUCAAGAUUGCUUUGGCUAAUUCACAGUCUUCUAUGGUUACAUAUAAAUUUUAGGAUUAUUAUAGUUCUGUGAAAAAUGUUGGCAUUAAAUCUUUAGAUUGUUCUGGAUAGUAGGGAUGUAUUUUCACAUGUAUUUUAAUAGAAAAUUGAAAGAAGCUCCCAUGGGGUCCGCCAGCCUGAGGAAAUUUUAAAGAUGAAGCCCUCUAGCUAUUUCUUAGACAAAACAACAUUGCUGUUGUUUGAAUUCGGAUAGUGCUUUACUAUGAUUUGGCUGUACGUUUUCAUCAAGAAGAAAGAUCUUCUUUAGGAAAGAAAUGGGACAAAGAAAGGGAGUUGCAAAUUGGCAAAACUAAAAUAAAUCCAGGGUAGCCAAUAAUAAAUAAUACCAAUAACACCAAUAACCAAUUCAUUUUGAAUUUUUCAGUUUCCCAAAACAUUUUAGAGAUUUGCUUUUGAGUAUCUUGUAUUGCUCAUAUUUCAGACACAAGUAGUUCCUAGAAGAAAAAAAUACAUAUUUGAGGAGUUUCACCCCAAGCACAAGUCAUAUAUGUAAUUUUUCACAUCUGACCAUAGGCAACUAAUUACAAGGUUUUGCCUGGCAGGCAUCAUGGGGAAAAGUUGCCCUUCCCACAUUAGACACAUUGCAUGGCUAAGGCAUUACAGUUUUCUUGAGGAGUUGCAAU